UAACAAAACCACGAUGCUUGCAGGAUGUAUAAAGAGUGCGGAUAUCUCCAUAUUGCUCAAAUAAGGCUCUUAACUCAGAAUCUUCAACAUUGCUAUUUAUAUUUCUCACAAAAAGAGUUCGAGAAGGGCGUUCACCAAAAGGGUGUUCUCCAGAAAUUGAACCACUGCUGAACCCUAUCUGACCAUUAGACAUUCCUACAUGAAAUUCAAUAUCAUUCUGUGCUGCAGGACUAUCAUCUCCCAAAUCCAAUCCACCAAUACUGUUAAAAAAGUCUAAGUCCUCCAUAUCAUCUCUGACACUGGAUUGGUUGAUAUUGUCCAGCUUAUCAGUCAUUCCACUAAACAAGUCAUCAUCACUGGGAAGAAGGUUUCCAAUGGUUUGGGCCUCAAUUUCUUCAAGGGAUUCAAAAGGUUCCUCUUCCUCAAAGUGGGAGGCAACAGUAUCAACAGAAUGGCCAUAUGUAACCUUGUUUGAGGAAAACCUCAACUUUCUACUAAAUAAUUCGGAUAACGAGCUUGAGAAGAGACUGUUCUCAUACUGAGUUGCCAUCAUGUCAACUUUGCCACCUUCUGGAAAACAAGAUGCUGGCUGUACAUUUAAACUGGAUCUUGUCUCAUGGACCACAGGUCUCAACAAAGUUGAGGACUGACUCAUUGUUGUCCCUGGUCCCACUGCAUGCUUAAUUAAGCUAUGAUUCAAUUUCUGAUCCUGCAUUAGGAAAGACUGAUGAAGUUCAAGUGACUUUGCUGACUGACAUCCCACAGCUCCAAGAUUUUCCAGGGGGGACGUAGGUACUGAUUUCCCAGUGGCAUGGAGAUCAGAUGUGGUGUCCAAGUUCCAGAACCCAAUAUGUCUCUCACUAGCAAAAGAUGCAUCCUCAGAGAAGAAUGAUGAUGAGGACAAAGUCGACGAACUCUUUGUUUCAGAUGGCAUGAUGAUUGAUACCUAGAAAUCUAUAAACUCAAAACAAGAAGGUCCCGGCUGGCCUAAUACCGUAUGGGCAUUGCACACCUUUAUAAACAGAAUCCAAAAUCUCUCUCCUCUCCAGCAAUGGAAACUCUUAUUAAAUAUAAAAAGGAUUACAAUUCAGAGCGAGGAGAGAAAAGGCGGACAUGAGCGAGAGAACAAUUUAAACAGAGUUGACACAGAGCGAGAGAUGGAAUAAAUUACGCCAUAAGGCAAGGAAAAUUGAAUGCAGAAGCUAUAAUCUUGGCAUCUGUGCCGUGUAAGAUCCUCCAAACCCUAAGUUGAUUCUCUUUUCCCUGCAUUGCACGUUAACCAUCACCACCUCCUAUCUCACUUCUCCAUUUCUUUUUUUAUACUUUCAUGAUUGUCUCUCCCCUUUAAACUUUCUCUCGCUUCAGGUCCCGUGGAGCAGUGGAAAUUCCCGUCGGAAUCUAUUAAGUUUCCGGCGAGAACAGACUCUCCGGCGAGAUUGCGAAAUUUCUCGCCAGAGACAGGUGAGAGAAAUCGAUAUGGCUCUCGCUUAAACGUGGAACCGUUUAUUGCAAAAAAAGGAACUAAAC
rnacentral:misc_RNA from 1 species